CCAGGUUUGCCGAAUGGAAUAACUUGGAUCAUUUUGAUCGCCAUGUUGAAUCGUCAUAUAAAUAUAGUGUUACGUUGGUUAGUAAUUAGCAAGUGUUUAGUAUGAGUGAUAAAUAAUUUUAAUAAUACAUUUUAGAUAUAACAUCAUAAAUAAAAUAAUAGAUUCUGAAGUAAAAUGGCCUGUUGCAUCAAGGGAUGCAAUUCCAGAAGAGACCAAAGUGGAUUAGCAAAAAAAAGUUUUUUUGCACCUCGCACAAUAAAUUAUUUAUGUUAUAAUGAUAUGUUUAUUUCUUGGUAUAAUAUUUUGUAUACUAAAAAUAUAAAAAUAAAGAAGUAUAGCAGAAUUUGUGAACUGCACUUUAAGUCAGAAGAUAUUAUUAAAGAAGAUGCUUUUUUACAAAACGAUGGAACAGUUAUCAAUGUAAAAAGAAAAAAUCCAAAGUUAAAAGAAGGAGCAAUUCCUUCACUCCUUUUUCAAUAAAAAAUAUAUCAUGUUGUCAGCAGAUAGAACAUAAUAAUAGUGAUGACAUUAUGUUUUGUGAGUUUUCAACUGAAUGUGAAUCCUGAGAAAUAAUUUCACAUUCAGCGGAAGAAACAAUUUCUUCUACAUUGCAUGGGAUAAAUAAUGUAUUACAAGAAGAAAAUAGAUCUUUUGUACAAGAAAAAGAAACAAUUAAAUUUUCUGCUGAAGAUAUCAAUAUUGCAAAAAAUAUUGAGGCUCCUACAAGUUAUUGGUUUGCAAACAUUAAUGAUAAUUGUAUGAUGUGGACAUGUUGGGCAAAUAAAAAAAGCAACAAUAUAUAUAACAUGUAUCAAAGGAUUUGAAAAUUUAGUUUAUAUAAUUCGUAUAUGCAAUUAUAUAUAAAUACAUAUCAUACAUACUUA